AUAUAACAUACAAGCAGACUGAAUAACAUGAUGGUUUGCAAAUAUAAUGUUAGCCUCAUGACUUUUUUUUAAACAUUUGCCAGCAAGUGCCACUGAAACACUGAAAGUAAUCCUUGCUGUAUCUAAAGUCAAGUAAGGUCUGGAAAGACCCAGUGUGAUUACAUCAGAAAUGCAGAGACUGCUAAAAGAUAUAACUAAAGGGCUUUUAAUGAGUUCAAAUAAAUGAUCCAGGGUGUAACCUGCAAAGGAAUUUGGGGUGCACAAAAAAUGUUUCGUUAAACCAUGAUGAAGUAGAGUCAGGGAAACUAUUAAAAAUGAGUAGCAGGAAGCUAUAAAACAGAAGCAGUGGAGCAAAAGGAAAUACUGAUGUUUUUCCCAAUUUGGGAAAUUUUAAGACAUUAGAUAAGAAAAAUCCAGCUGCCCAGAAAUUUUGCCUUGGAGAAAUGAUAAAAGAGACAGUUUGCAGCAGAAGUAAAGAACACUGCAGAAUUAUUUUGUUUUAUCUGGUCACAGGUGCAGUAAAGCCAUCAAUGAAUUUUGGUACAGGACAGUACAGAAACUCAUACAGGAAUAGAAAUUAUGCUUCCAGCCAUCAAAGUAGUUUGGCCUUCAAAAGCCAGAUCCGGCGCGCACCAAAAGUCAGUGGAAAGAGUCUUAUUGAUUCCAAUGGAUCCGGUUUUGUCAGUGUGCCUUUCUCUGCUGGCUUUUCCUGUGCCUCUUUGUUACUGAGUGGUGGAGAUGGUUCCCUCAGUAGGGGAAAUAAAUCCCUGCUGGAGAAUAGGAAGGUUUCAUUCCUCUAGCGCAGGGUGGGAGCAGGCAGGAAUCCAUGAGCGCAGCGUCUCUUUCCCUCUCCCAGGCAUCUUCUUCCUUGGUGCCGGAUUGCUUUAUCACAUGCUACAUCUUGCUCUUGUAUGAUUCCUUUUGAAUCCUAAGGAGCUCUAAUAGCUGUGUUUGGAAAUCGCCCGACCUGACCCCUGUUACCGAGCCAUUUGCUUGAUUAACCAGAUGCUAAAACACCCUUCCUAAGGUGAGCAUGAAGGCCACUACUUCCUACUAAUCCAGUCAUCUUCUGAGGACAUAGCUCAGUCCUGAGGCCUGUGAGAAAUGAACCUAUUUAUUCUGGCUCAGGAGAUGAAUUGGAUGGAUGUAUAUUAUACAUCUGAAAUAAAAGCAAACCAUCAGAAAUUCAGGAGCUAACAGCCUGGGGAGCCAGCUGGCCACUUCCUGAAGCACGAUCAGGUGAUGUGUAGCCAUCCUUCUCCCCACAUUUGUUGACUUGUCCUUGGGGAUGAAGAGACCUGGCUGCCCACACUGUGACCCCGGGCUGGGUGGACCAAUGGACUCCGUUAGGUCUCUCUGAAAGUCCCAACUAGCUUUUUGCCUUCAUUUCUUGGAUUUUUUAGAUUGAAAAUAAUAUGACCCCAUCACCGAGGAAGCAGUUGCGUGGCUUAAGUCACUCAUAUUUGGGCAGGGUGCUUUGACCACAAUGCACUACAGGUGCCACAGAAGGGCCAUGUGUCAUAGUGAUAUUUUUGUCUUUCUAGUGACCUCUCUCAUAAGCCACCGACUGCCUCAACUCCACAUGCAGAUGCCCAGUAACUACCUGUCCAACUUGCCCAACGUAGCCAGGCUCCAGUACUGCCGCCACCAAGUCUGAGCCUGUCUUUCAGGGGUUGGCCAUUGAUUGUGAUUGCAAAAGAAGAUCUUGUUUUCCGAAGGGCAGAAUCGAACAUCUCGCCUCUGUGCCGUGGUGCAUUAUCUCUCCAGGCAUGCAAAACAUGACUGUAUUUCCCACUGUUUUAUUUACUGGCUUUUUUUUUUUCCAUUUACUGAGAAAAAAAACCUUAUUUGGUACUUUUUUUUUUGUGCAUGUUCUGUGUGUGUGUGUGUAUAUAUAUGUUUAGGAGGUUAAAAAAAAUUUCUUGCUGUCAGCAAGUGAUGUUACAAACCUGCUCUGACAAGGCUGGUUGUAUAUUUACAGUUGGUGAGAGCGAAGGCUUCAUCAAUCUUCACGCUUUGAAAGGGACAGGCCCGCUCCCAUGAGCACCUGCUCCGGGAGAACAGCUGAACUGUGACUUUCCAGGGAGCUGGCUGUAAAUUUUAGCCAUUCCCCCCGCAGCCCACGCAUGCUUGAGCUUUUUAACCUUCCCAGGCUGGCAGGAGUCCCAGCAAUCAGCUUAGUGCAAAGACUGGGGUUCUUUUUAAUUAACCUUUUGUUUCCCACUGCAGGUGUUUCAAAGUUUCUUGAUGUUAAAAAGGAAAAAAAAAAAAAAAAUUGGUUGCAAAGGUGCGGCCCCAUACUUCCCUCUUCUCCCCGCUCCAUGAUCAAAUGGGACAGGUCUUCCUCUCAUUUCCCCUCCACGCUUAUGGUUCCCCGGUGCACACGUCUAUAACAACAUCCACUGGGAAGUACUUCUGACAUGUGGUUUCCUUCAGGCAUCCAUAGAAGGGCUGUUCCACGGCCCAAUAUUGCAAGGUCAUUCUUACUUCCUGGGUCAUUUUGCAUCACCGUCCCACCCCGCUCUUCCCAUGCUGCUUUUUUUUUUUUUCCUGUGACUUGACUCCCUUUGCACAUUAAUGUUCAGACUAAUUAGCCCUAGUCCGUCUUAGUCUGGGCAGCCAGGCAAAGGAAGUCCGGCUGUAAGAAAGCAAGCCUGGCUGCAGGCUCUCCAGGUGCCGACGCGAUGCCCUCCUUGCCUGCUCCUGGUGCCAUUACUCAACUGGAGAACAAAGAACGCUUCCUGAUCGCUCUGUGUGCUCAGACAUUAAUUUUGUUAAUCACACAGGCCAGCGAUUUAGCUGACACAAUUUAGGACGUGAGAUAUCCUGAAGGAAAGCAGGGGGGCGUGAUCUGGAGAGGACUCGAGACUUUCCAGGAUUCUCUCUCUAAGGGAAUUUACUUUGCUGUCACUUGGUUGUGUCUUUAGUGAGGAAAGCUAUCCUUUGUUAUCAAGAAGAAUGAAACAGGAACCCAGGUCCAGGCUAUGAAAGAAGCCUUUGCAAACCAGGCUCAGCUAGGAUAUUAUCUGUCUCCACAGAACUUCAGUGAAGCUUUCAGAUCAUAUAUAUGGCCCAUUUAUGAGCCCCCCAAAUUACUCAUUAGGCUUUUGCAGAAGAAUCCACUUUAGAAUUGCAUCCUGUCAUUAAGAAACUUCAGAAAAUUACACAACUGAGCCAGAUGGAAGAUCCGGUUGCUCCAAGCAUGGGGGAUAACGGGAAUGCCGACAGUAUAAGAUACCUUUCCAGGAGAAUUAAGUUCCCUAACCUUGGUGAGAGCCGUUCUUCACUCUGCUGGUGACAUGCAGUAUAUGGUACCAUCACAGCACUUUAAAGCACUUUACUUUUUCUAAGUAAUUAAUCCUUGGGACAUCCCAGGUGGACAAAUACUAUCACUUUCAUUGUAUAGAUGGGAAAACUGGGGCCAAGUCAAGUAAAGUGUUUUACCAAGGAUACAGAAAGAAUGGGUAUCAGAGCUGGGAGCAAAGUUGUGUGUGCCCACCACCCAGGCUUGAUUUCAGGCCACCCAGGUGAGGCUCUCUGUCUCUGUGCAAUGUUAAUUUGUCUUCUCUGGGUGCCCCUGGCUGUCCAGCUCAGACGAUCUUUGUCCUCUCCAUCUCCCACCACCUUGUUCUUCAGUAAGUCCUCACUCAUAUUCUCUCAGUGGAUAUGGAAACUACCUGAGAUAGCAGUAAUGGGCCUCUUCUCUCUGGACCUCAUCUCACUGGCAUUCAUCCCCUGCUCCUCUGUGUGAUGAUCACUGACUAGUCCAUAGUGCUGAAUCCCAAAAGACAGAUUCCUGCUCAUCUUUGGGUACGUCAGGGCGAUCCACCCUGGUCUCUGCCAACUUGGAAGAGACGGUCAUAAACUUGUUUCCAGCUGUGGGUAUAUUGAAUGGCAGGAAGCAGAACAGCCAAGCAAACGAGUUGUUGUUUUUUUUAAAUAGGACCUUGUGGUGAUCUGUUAUCACCCUUAUAGUAGAGGCUAGGAACCACUUCCAUAGACUAUGGUGCUAGGUAUUGUACAAACGCAGAGUAAGACACAGCCUUGAUUGGCCUGAUCCAAGGCUUGGAUUUCUAUUGCAGGUGGCUCAGGAGCACGGAGAAGGGUCAGCACUGUAAUCCGAGUUAUCCGGGGCUGAGGAUGUAGUAAGUCUAUUGACGAUAGUGGUGUUGUUCCAAAUUGACACAUCGCAGACGAGAUGAGUGCGGCCCAAAAUGGCAAUGUGCGUCUCCCCAGCACAUUUCUUUAGCAAAUUGCAUUUUUUGUUUCACUGCUGU